GCGGGUGUAGCUCAAUCGGCAGAGCACUAGCUUUGGGGGCUAGUUUGUUGUGGGUUCAAAUCCCACCGCCCGCU
rnacentral:tRNA from 1 species